rnacentral:rRNA from 1 species
AGAGUUUGAUCAUGGCUCAGGACGAACGCUGGCGGCGUGCCUAAUACAUGCAAGUAGAACGCUGAAGAGAGGAGCUUGCUCUUCUUGGAUGAGUUGCGAACGGGUGAGUAACGCGUAGGUAACCUGCCUUGUAGCGGGGGAUAACUAUUGGAAACGAUAGCUAAUACCGCAUAACAAUGGAUGACACAUGUCAUUUAUUUGAAAGGGGCAAUUGUUCCACUACAAGAUGGACCUGCGUUGUAUUAGCUAGUAGGUGAGGUAAUGGCUCACCUAGGCGACGAUACAUAGCCGACCUGAGAGGGUGAUCGGCCACACUGGGACUGAGGCACGGCCCAGACUCCUACGGGAGGCAGCAGAAGGGAAUCUUCGGCAAUGGGGGCAACCCUGACCGAGCAACGCCGCGUGAGUGAAGAAGGUUUUCGGAUCGUAAAGCUCUGUUGUAAGUCAAGAACGGGUGUGAGAGUGGAAAGUUCACACUGUGACGGUAGCUUACCAGAAAGGGACGGCUAACUACGUGCCAGCAGCCGCGGUAAUACGUAGGUCCCGAGCGUUGUCCGGAUUUAUUGGGCGUAAAGCGAGCGCAGGCGGUUUGAUAAGUCUGAAGUUAAAGGCUGUGGCUCAACCAUAGUUCGCUUUGGAAACUGUCAAACUUGAGUGCAGAAGGGGAGAGUGGAAUUCCAUGUGUAGCGGUGAAAUGCGUAGAUAUAUGGAGGAACACCGGUGGCGAAAGCGGCUCUCUGGUCUGUAACUGACGCUGAGGCUCGAAAGCGUGGGGAGCGAACAGGAUUAGAUACCCUGGUAGUCCACGCCGUAAACGAUGAGUGCUAGGUGUUGGAUCCUUUCCGGGAUUCAGUGCCGCAGCUAACGCAUUAAGCACUCCGCCUGGGGAGUACGACCGCAAGGUUGAAACUCAAAGGAAUUGACGGGGGCCCGCACAAGCGGUGGAGCAUGUGGUUUAAUUCGAAGCAACGCGAAGAACCUUACCAGGUCUUGACAUCCCGAUGCUAUUUCUAGAGAUAGAAAGUUACUUCGGUACAUCGGUGACAGGUGGUGCAUGGUUGUCGUCAGCUCGUGUCGUGAGAUGUUGGGUUAAGUCCCGCAACGAGCGCAACCCCUAUUGUUAGUUGCCAUCAUUCAGUUGGGCACUCUAGCGAGACUGCCGGUAAUAAACCGGAGGAAGGUGGGGAUGACGUCAAAUCAUCAUGCCCCUUAUGACCUGGGCUACACACGUGCUACAAUGGUUGGUACAACGAGUUGCGAGUCGGUGACGGCGAGCUAAUCUCUUAAAGCCAAUCUCAGUUCGGAUUGUAGGCUGCAACUCGCCUACAUGAAGUCGGAAUCGCUAGUAAUCGCGGAUCAGCACGCCGCGGUGAAUACGUUCCCGGGCCCUGUACACACCGCCCGUCACACCACGAGAGUUUGUAACACCCGAAGUCGGUGAGGUAACCUUUUGGAGCCAGCCGCCUAAGGUGGGACAGAUGAUUGGGGUGAAGUCGUAACAAGGUA